AUUGAACGCUGGCGGCAGGCCUAACACAUGCAAGUCGAGCGAGCGGCGGACGGGUGAGUAAUGUAUGGGGACUGCCCGAUAGAGGGGGAUAACUACUGGAAAAGGUGGAUAAUAACGCAUACUAUCGGAUAACCAAUAUGGGAUUAGCUAGUAGGUGGGGUAAAGGCUAACCUAGGCGACGAUCUCUAGCUGGUAUGAGAGGAUGAUCAGCCACACUGGGACUUAGACACGGCCCAGACUCCUACGGUGGCAGCAGUGGGGAAUAUUGCCCAAUUGGCGCAAGCCUGAUGCAGCCAUGCCGCGUGUAUGAAGAAGGCCUUAGGGUUGUAAAGUACUUUCAGCGGGGAGGCGUUACCCGCAGCAGAAGCACCGGCUAACUCCGUGCCAGCCGCCGCGGUAAUAC
rnacentral:rRNA from 1 species